rnacentral:rRNA from 1 species
AUGGCCGUACCAUGCUGAAUAUACCGGUUCUCGUUAGAUCACCGAAGUUAAGCAUCAUUGGGCGCGGUCAGUACUUGGGUGGGUGACCACCUGGGAACACUGCGUGCCGU